GUUUCUGUAGUGUAGUGGUUAUCACAUUUGCCUCACAUGCGAAAGGUCUCCAGUUCGAAACCAGGCAGGAGCA
rnacentral:tRNA from 1 species